AUGGAGCUAAGCGCAGCCACCGUCUUCCUCUCCGUCGUCUCACUGGUGAUCCUCGUGUUCUUUCUUAGCCGCAAAACUUCAGCAAGUUCCAAGAAGAAGCGGCCUCCGGGUCCAUGGUGUCUUCCCCUGAUCGGCAACCUUCUCCACCUCCUCACCUCGCAGCCGCAGGCGGCCCUACGGGACCUGGCCAGGAAGCACGGCCCGGUGAUGUCCCUGCGGCUGGGCCAAGUCGACGCCGUCGUGAUCUCCUCCCCGGCAGCCGCGCAGGAGGUGCUCCGGGACAAGGACCUCACCUUCGCGUCGCGGCCGAGCAUGCUCACCUCGGACAUCAUCCUCUACGGGAACAUGGACAUCGCUUUCGCGCCGUACGGCGCGUACUGGCGGAUGCUGCGCAAGCUCUGCAUGGUCGAGCUCCUCAGCGCGCAGAAGGUGCGGCAGCUCGCGCCUGUCCGGGACGGCGAGACCCGCUCCCUCGUCAGGAAGGUCGGCACCGCGGGCCGAGGCGGCGAGCCGGUCAACCUCGGGAGGCUGCUCUGUUCGUGCUCGAUCUCGAUCACCGCGAAGGCGACGUUCGGCCGGCUGUGUGACGAGGAGCUCCAGAAGCAGUACAUGCCGGUCGUGGAAGUGGCUGUGAAAGAAGGUGGGGGUUUCAGCGCCGGGGACCUCUUCCCGUCUCUGUGGUUCGUCGACGUCGCCACUGGGCUGACACGCCGGCUGUGGCGAACGCGCCGUCAGCUCGACGCCAUAUUUGACAAGAUGAUCGCUGAGUGCGAGGCACAGCGAGCAGAGAAAAAGAAGACGACGGCGACGACGAAGACCACCGGAGAUGAAGAAGAACACCUCCUGAAUGUCUUGCUUAGGAUCAAGGAUGAGGGGAAGCUUGAGGUCCCCAUCAGCAUGACAAGCAUCAAAGCAAUCUUAUUUGACAUGCUCACCGGAGGCACGGAGACAACGUCGUCGGCCGCGGAGUGGAUCAUGUCAGAGCUCAUGAGGAACCCCGAGGCGAUGGCCAAAGCGCAGGCUGAGGUUCGACGAACAUUCGACGGCAAGAGCCCGGAAGACCAUGAGGGCCUCAUCGACAAGCUACGCUACAUGAAGAUGGUGAUCAAGGAGGGCCUGAGGCUGAACCCGGUGCUGCCACUCCUUCUCCCCCGCCUCUGCGGGGCGACCUGCGACAUCGGCGGAUUCGAGGUCGCCAAGGGCACCAAGGUCAUCGUCAACGCGUUGGCGAUGGCGCGGAGCCCCGAGCACUGGCCCAACGCGGAGGAGUUCAUGCCGGAGAGGUUCGACGGCGGCGUGGCGGGGGACUUCAAAGGCUUGCAGUUCGAGUACCUCCCAUUCGGUAGCGGGAGGAGGAUGUGUCCUGGAGACACCUUCGGGCUCGCCGUGCUGGAGCUCAUCGUCGCGCGACUUUUCUACUACUUCGACUGGAGCCUCCCCAACGGAAUGCGACCGGAUGAGCUCGACAUGGACAUGAUCGUCGGCUCGACGGCGAGGAGGAAAAACCAGCUGCACCUGUUGGCGUCGCCGUGCAGGGAGCUUCCCGUGGAAAUCUGA
rnacentral:rRNA from 1 species